rnacentral:rRNA from 1 species
UACGUAGGGUGCAAGCGUUGUCCGGAAUUAUUGGGCGUAAAGAGCUCGUAGGCGGUUUGUCGCGUCUGCUGUGAAAACCCGAGGCUCAACCUCGGGCCUGCAGUGGGUACGGGCAGACUAGAGUGCGGUAGGGGAGAUUGGAAUUCCUGGUGUAGCGGUGGAAUGCGUAGAUAUCGAGAGGAACACCUGCGGCGAAGGCGGGUAGCUGGGCCGACACUGACGCUGAGGCGCGAAAGCCAGGGGAGCGAACGGG